AAGUCAUCUAAAUGGUUCAACAGGUUCAGUUUCUUCCAGAAUAAUAGCAGCUUCAAAACAGUCAGCAGCUUCCGCGGCUGAACCUAAACCUCCCUCUUUGUAUAACAGGCCUAGAUUAUACCAUGCAGAAGCAUUCAUCCGAUCAAGACGUAGUGCUUCUGUUAGAAGGCUUCGAAUAAUUGCAGGAGACUGUUUACCUAUCUUCAUAAACACCACAGCACUUGAUACCAGACUUGGCACAUGGGAUGGAUUAACAGCCAAA
rnacentral:misc_RNA from 1 species